GACGUAGGGGGCGAGCGUUGUCCGGAUUUAUUGGGCGUAAAGCGUGCGUAGGCGGCUGCGCAAGUCGGUUGUGAAAACCCGGGGCUCAACUCCGGGCUUGCAUUCGAUACGGGCAGGCUAGAGUUCGGUAGGGGAGUCUGGAAUUCCUGGUGUAGCGGUGAAAUGCGCAGAUAUCAGGAGGAACACCUGUGGCGAAGGCGGGACUCUGGGCCGAUACUGACGCUGAGGAGCGAAAGCGUGGGGAGCGAACAGG
rnacentral:rRNA from 1 species